GUGGUAAUGACUCAACUGGUAGAGCAUGGCAUUAACAUUUCCAGGGUUAGGGGUUCGAUUCCCACUGGGACCACC